rnacentral:rRNA from 1 species
GGUGGAAUUUUCCGCAAUGGGGCGCAAGCCUGACGGAGCAAGACCGCGUGAGGGAGGAAGGCUCUUGGGUUGUAAACCUCUUUUAUCAGGGAAGAAGAUCUGACGGUACCUGAUGAAUCAGCAUCGGCUAACUCCGUGCCAGCAGCCGCGGUAAUACGGAGGAUGCAAGCGUUAUCCGGAUUUAUUGGGCGUAAAGCGUCCGCAGGUGGUUUUUCAAGUCUGCUGUUAAAGCGCAGAGCUUAACUCUGUAACGGCGGUGGAAACUGAGAGACUAGAGUAUGGUAGGGGUUGCGGGAAUUCCCAGUGUAGCGGUGAAAUGCGUAGAUAUUGGGAAGAACACCAGCGGCGAAAGCGCGCAACUGGGCCAUUACUGACACUCAUGGACGAAAGCUAGGGGAGCGAAAGGGAUUAGAUACCCCUGUAGUCCUAGCUGUAAACGAUGGGUACUAGGUGUUGACCGUAUCGACCCGGUCAGUGCCGUAGCUAACGCGUUAAGUACC